rnacentral:rRNA from 18 species
ACGGAGAGUUUGAUCCUGGCUCAGGACGAACGCUGGCGGCGUGCUUAACACAUGCAAGUCGAACGAACUCUUCGGAGUUAGUGGCAGACGGGUGAGUAACGCGUGGGAACCUACCUUUAGGUACGGAACAACAGUUGGAAACGACUGCUAAUACCGUAUGUGCCCUAUGGGGGAAAGAUUUAUCGCCUAAGGAUGGGCCCGCGUUGGAUUAGCUAGUUGGUGGGGUAAAGGCCUACCAAGGCGACGAUCUCUAGCUGGUCUGAGAGGAUGAUCAGCCACACUGGAACUGAGACACGGUCCAGACUCCUACGGGAGGCAGCAGUGGGGAAUAUUGCGCAAUGGGGGAAACCCUGACGCAGCAAUGCCGCGUGAGUGAGGAAGGGUUUCGGCUCGUAAAGCUCUGUCAGAUGGGAAUAAUGGUCAAGGGUCUAAUAGGCCUUUGAUUUGAAGGUACCUUCAAAGGAAGCACCGGCUAACUUCGUGCCAGCAGCCGCGGUAAUACGAAGGGUGCAAGCGUUGUUCGGAUUUAUUGGGCGUAAAGCGCGCGCAGGCGGACGGCUAAGUCAGAUGUGAAAUCCCGGGGCUCAACCUCGGAACUGCGUCUGAAACUGGUCGUCUAGAAUCUCGGAGAGGAAAGGGGAAUUUCGCAUGUAGGGGUAAAAUCCGUAGAGAUGCGAAGGAACACCAGAGGCGAAGGCGCCUUUCUGGACGAGUAUUGACGCUGAGGCGCGAAAGCGUGGGGAGCAAACAGGAUUAGAUACCCU